CCUACGGGUAGCAGCAGUGAGGAAUAUUGGUCAAUGGACGCGAGCCUGAACCAGCCAAGCCGCGUGCAGGAUGACGGCUCUACGAGUUGUAAACUUCUUUUGUAAGGGCAUAAAGUCCGAUACGUGUACCUGGUUGAAUGUACCUUACGAAUAAGGAUCGGCUAACUCCGUGCCAGCAGCCGCGGUAAUACGGAGGAUCCGAGCGUUAUCCGGAUUUAUUGGGUUUAAAGGGUGCGGAGGCGGGUUGUUAAGUUAGCUGUGAAAUGUCGGGGCUCAACCCCGAAACGGCCAUUGACACUGGCAGUCUAGAGUAGAGUUGAGGUAGGCGGAAUGUGUGGUGUAGCGGUGAAAUGCUUAGAGAUCACGCAGAACACCGAUUGCGAAGGCAGCUUACCAAACUAUGACUGACGUUGAGGCACGAAAGCGUGGGUAGCAAACAGGAUUAGAUACCCGAGUAGUC
rnacentral:rRNA from 1 species